CGGAAGAAGCAGCCUGACCAGCUUCAGACUGCUGAAGGAUGGGCUAAGUUCACUGGAGGAUUCUUCUUCGGAGGGAUCUCUGGGGUGACUUGGGCUUACUUCCUUCUCUACGUUCUUGACCUUCCUUACUACGUCAAAUGAAUGUAGAUGAAAUACAAGCAUCCACCUUUAAAUACCCUCUUGCAUCAUUGUUUUUUUACUCUUGUCUUGAUCAAGAAUCUUGAAUCUCAGUAUGGUUAAUGUAUAUUACUAUGGAUCGUUUCUUAAAUCUUUCUUCAUCUUUAUUGACAUUAAUUUAUAUUUGCC
rnacentral:lncRNA from 1 species